rnacentral:rRNA from 1 species
GACGAGCGCUGGCGGCGUGCUUAACACAUGCAAGUCGAACGGAAAGGCCUGCUUUCCCUUGUGGAUUGCGGGUGCUCGAGUGGCGAACGGGUGAGUAACACGUGAGUGAUCUGCCCCCAACUUGGGUAUAAGCCUGGGAAACUGGGUCUAAUUCCCGAUAGGACUGCAGGGUGGUGCCUGUGGUGGAAAACGAUUUUCUAGUGGUUGGGGAUGAGCUCGCGGCCUAUCAGCUUGUUGGUGGGGUAAUGGCCUACCAAGGCGGCGACGGGUAGCCGGCCUGAGAGGGUGGACGGCCACAUUGGGACAGAGAUACGGCCCAGACUCCUACGGGAGGCAGCAGUGGGGAAUAUUGCACAAUGGGCGGAAGCCUGAUGCAGCGACGCCGCGUGGGGGAUGACGGCCUUCGGGUUGUAAACUCCUUUCGACCGCGAGGAAGCCACCUGGUUGGAAGGGUGGUGACGGUAGUGGUAGAAGAAGCACCGGCUAACUACGUG